GACGAACGCUGGCGGCGUGCCUAAUACAUGCAAGUGGGACGCAAGGAAACACACUGUGCUUGCACACCGUGUUUUCUUGAGUCGCGAACGGGUGAGUAACGCGUAGGUAACCUGCCUAUUAGCGGGGGAUAACUAUUGGAAACGAUAGCUAAUACCGCAUAAUAUUAAUUAUUGCAUGAUAAUUGAUUGAAAGAUGCAAGCGCAUCACUAGUAGAUGGACCUGCGUUGUAUUAGCUAGUUGGGAAGGUAAGAGCUUACCAAGGGGACGAUACAUAGCCGACCAGCGAGGGAGAGCGGCCAAACCGGGACGGGGACACGGCCCAGACUCCUACGGGAGGGAGCCGUAGGGAAUCUUUGGCAAUGGACGAAAGACUGAACGAGCGACGACGCGUGAGAGAAGAAGGGUGUCGGGUCGUAAAGCUCUGUUGUGAGUUAAGAACGUGUGUGAGAGUGGAAAGUUCACACAGUGACGGUAGCUUACCAGAAAGGGACGGCUAACUACGUG
rnacentral:rRNA from 1 species